CUGAAAUGGAAUUUAUUUAUUCAACACACGAAGUAUAAUGUUUAUUGUUAACAGCUUAUCUCGCCAAAAUGAACUGACCAAGUUCAAAACUUCCCAAACGACGCGCAUUUGGAGCUUCCAUGGCCAUGUCCAGAAAACAGUCGCCAAAAACACUGCGCUGCGUACACACGGCCCCAUGAUUCAAUAAUACAAGGUUUGAUAAUUAUUGACAGCCGCGGUUUGACAC